rnacentral:rRNA from 1 species
AGUCUGGUGCCAGCAGCCGCGGUAAUUCCAGCUCCAAUAGCGUAUAUUAAAUUUGUUGCAGUUAAAAAGCUCGUAGUUGGAUCUCAGGUGAGGUGUGUCGGUGUGUUCAAUGAGCAUCACCGUUCAUGUCUGCCUUUCUCAGUCGUUUGUCCUCUCAUGGUUCUCUUAACUGAGUGCUAUAAGAGGCUCGACACGUUUACCUUGAAAAAAUCAGAGUGCUCAAAGCAGGCCUUUGCGCUUGUAUGUUGUUGCAUGGAAUAAUGGAAUAGGACUUCGGUUCUAUUUUGUUGGUUUUCGGUGCCGAAGUAAUGAACAAUAGAGACAGACGGGGGCAUUUCUAUGGCUGUGAUAGAGGUGAAAUUCUGAGACCGCAGCCAGAGAAACUACUGCGAAAGCAUUUGCCAAGCAUGUCUUCAUUAAUCAAGAACGAAAGUCAGAGGUUCGAAGACGAUCAGAUACCGUCCUAGUUCUGACCUUAAACGAUGCCGUCCGAUAAUCAGGAGUGGUUAUAUUUUAUUAAUCCUCCUGGCUGUCCCUGGGAAACCUUAGAUAGGUUCUGGGGGGAAUAUGGUCGCAAGGUUGGAACUUAAAGGAAUUGACGGAAGGGCACCACCAGGAGUGGAGCCUGCGGCUUAAUUUGACCCAACACGGGGAAACUCACCCGGUCCGGACACUGUGAGGAUUGACAGAUUGAUAGCUCUUUCUUGAUUCAGUGGGUGGUGGUGCAUGGCCGUUCUUAGUUGGUGGAGUGAUUUGUCUGGUUAAUUCCGAUAACGAACGAGACUCUAUCCUGCUAAAUAGUUUGGUGGCAUCGGUCGCUUCGGUGACUAAAGCUGCUAAAACUUCUUAGAGGGAUUCGCGGUAUUUAAACCGCACGAAAGAGAGCAAUAACAGGUCUGUGAUGCCCUUAGAUGUCCGGGGCCGCACGCGCGCUACAUUGACAGUAUCAGAAAGUAAUACCACCUAGCUAGAGAUAGUUGGGAAAUCUUUGAAUUACUGUCUCCACAGGGAUUGAGGUUUGUAACUAUCCCUCAUGAACGAGGAAUUCCCAGUAGGCGUAAGUCAUCAGCUUACGUCGAUUACGUCCCUGCCCUUUGUACACACCGCCCGUCGCUACUACCGAUUGAGUGGAUUAGUGAGGCCCUCAGAUUGAGGCUUUGAUGGCGAAAGUCACUAAGGUCUCGAAAAGUGGGUCAAACUUGUUCAUUUAGAGGAAGUAAAAGUC